CAUCUCGAGUGCUGCUCAGGUGGGGGCGUCACGGCAGGCGUCCGUCUCAUCUCCGUCAGCUUCCUCCGUUUCGUGACCGAUCUUCAGGCCAUCAAGACGUUCUUCCUUUUAAAGUCUGGUUUUCCAGAUGCUCCCCUGCCAGAUCGCUUGAACACGAACAGGAUCCGGGCUCUAACGGUGGGUUCUCUGUAAUACGCAGCAAGCUGUAAGAGACGGAUGCUCUUCCCCGCGACACCCAGAAUCUGGUGCCUGAGGCAGAGGCUUUGAAUAUCACGACUGAAAGGUCUGCGGAAGCCUUUCCAGAGAUCAUCGGUGAGGCUACAAAGUCAACUGAAUGCAAGCAAUCGUCAGCAUGUACAGAAGUAUCACCAUAUGCCGGGGGGUGGGGGAGAGAAGUUCAUUUAGAGACCCUGAUUCUUCCCUUUGGGGGAGGCCAGGAGGAAAGAGCCCCUAAGCAGCUAUUUUAAGCUGUUUUUUUUUCCUUGGGGGAAGAGAAAUUUUGCAUUUCUUCUCUCCCUCAGCACAGGUCUUUGCUGUCCCCCCUGGCUGAGUUUAUAGGGCCAGCCAAGAGAGAACCCUGCCCGGUGUGAGAAGGAGGAGCCCACAGGCAAGGGAGCAGCUGCUGACCCUCCUUCUUGUGCUAAUGAACUAAUUAAUCACGGUAAAUAAGGCUGGCGAUCAACUCCAUCCUGAUGGAGAGCCAGCGCCAGGUGGGGGCCAGGCAGGAGGAGGCCCAGGUGGCCGACUGAGGGUCUGGAAAGAGAUUGGUCUCAAAACCGGGAAGGUCCCCGAGCAGCCCUGGAUGGGGACAGGGAGGCAUGUCCCUGUCCAUCAUCCUUCUGUAGGAGGCCUCCGCUCCUGCUGUGAUGAUAACUCCUGGCACACAGACAUGGAUGGAGGCCUCAUCAAAAGGAUGGAAUCCUAGAACAAACAUCAACAAUGGGAUUAAGAAUAGAAGAAGUGGCUUUCUGAAUGCACAGCCUCCGGAGCCUGAAUUAGCUAAUUUGUACCUGAAACAAGCAUUUUGUAGUUAUCAUGGUAGAAUGGUAAAUAUGUAAAUAAUAAGAAACAACGACAACAAUAAACAAUGUUUAAUUUGAUCA
rnacentral:lncRNA from 1 species